AGUGAGUUUUUUAAAUGAUAUAAACUAUCACAUGUACUUUUAUCUAAAUUUUCUAAGGUUUUUUCUAUCCAUGCUAAUUUUUCUUUUAGGUCUUCCAUUAUUUUUCUAAUUCGGUUUCUAUAACUGAUUUCAUUAUUUAGAUUUUCUUGAUUUUCUCUAGUUUGUCUAAUAUAUUCUAACAUGUUUUAGUCUGAAUAAUAUUCUUCUGGGUAAAUUUCUUCGUAUAACUGUUCUAGAUAAUUGGUAGUUUCAUUUUCAUAGUUUAUUAUUUCUUCUAAUAUUAUUUUCUUAAUAUC
rnacentral:lncRNA from 1 species